GUAGGGAAUCUUCCACAAUGGACGCAAGUCUGAUGGAGCAACGGCCGCGUGAGUGAAGAAGGUCUUCGGAUCGUAAAGCUCUGUUGUUGGUGAAGAAGGAUAGAGGCAGUAACUGGUCUUUAUUUGACGGUAAUCAACCAGAAAGUCACGGCUAACUACGUGCCAGCAGCCGCGGUAAUACGUAGGUGGCAAGCGUUGUCCGGAUUUAUUGGGCGUAAAGCGAGCGCAGGCGGAAUGAUAAGUCUGAUGUGAAAGCCCACGGCUCAACCGUGGAACUGCAUCGGAAGCUGUCAUUCUUGAGUGCAGAAGAGGAGAGUGGAACUCCAUGUGUAGCGGUGGAAUGCGUAGAUAUAUGGAAGAACACCAGUGGCGAAGGCGGCUCUCUGGUCUGCAACUGACGCUGAGGCUCGAAAGCAUGGGUAGCGAACAGGAUUAGAUACCCUGGUAGUCCAUGCCGUAAACGAUGAGCGCUAGGUGUUGGGGACUUUCCGGUCCUCAGUGCCGCAGCAAACGCAUUAAGCGCUCCGCCUGGGGAGUACGACCGCAAGGUUGAACUCUAAGUGAAUUGACGGGUCAUA
rnacentral:rRNA from 1 species